ACUGCUGAUAUGUAUGUUGUUACUACAUGGAAAGACAGUGUAGAUCCCUUAGCUUACUUUCCAGAUGAUGCUGACAUGAAGGAUGCACUUGUGUUCCCUCUAUGGACAAAAGCUGCCGGCCCAGAACAUUAUCUGUUAUGUGAGUAUUGCACAUCGUCUUGACCCUGGACAGUGGACAGAAGUCACAGGAUUGGAUAUUGGGGUCUUUCCUCAACAGACCAACAGCAUUGAUUGUGGAGUUUUCAUGCUCAUGUAUGCCCUUUACACUGUGCUGAACACUCCAUUCAAUUUUACUUCGGUGAGCUUUUCUAUUUUCUUCCUUAGAAGGUUGCUUUAAA